CAGAGAAUAACUAGAGAAAUAUUAUGAGCAAAUUCCAUGUUCAUUUUACCAGAAAUUGAAAUCAAACUGACUGUAACUUUGCUAUGUAAUUCUGUAUGGUUUAUUAGGCACGUUGCCAGAAGAUUAGUGGUGCUCAUAAUGUAUAAUGAUGGUGAUGGUUAAUUGGUUUUUAGCACAGAUGGCUGGAGAGGGGGAGAGAUCAGAGAAGGAGAAUAGCACAGUGUGUGACAGCAAGCAGGUUACGUAUGAUACAAAUCAGUAUUCGACAUCCAUCCAUUUCAGAGGACAUCGGGAGAUGAUGUUGAAACUGGCCACUGGGGGCAACAGUGAGCGCUGUUACCUUCAUGCAGACUUUGGUUUUUGCUGGAGACGGGAUGGAGAAUGAGCGUAAGCAUUUGCUAAUGGUUCCAAAGGUUGCAUGUGUGAAUCCUGCGAUAGAAAGUUAUUUUUGUUUUCAAGCCUUUCCCAAACCUUAACCCUGAUCUUAACCAUUCGGAGUUAAUGCCUAACCUUAAAAAUUCUGAGUUAAUGCCGAACCUUAAGAAUUUGGUGUUAAUGCCUAAACUUAACCUUGGAACGAUACAGAGAAUGAACCAAACACUUAGAAAUUUGACAUUUGGAAUACAUUUGAAAUUUGACUUUUGAGAAACAUGGAUGAACGUCUAAUUCUGACGUGAGACCUUGAGAACUUGUUAGUGAUAAAUUGAUGGAUUCUAUUCUUCAGUUAAAGAACACAUAUACACACAGUACACACAUUUUAAAAACGUGACAGGGACAUCUCAAACAAGUUAGAGACUUAUUUCCAUUGUGGUCCCUAAAAGAAAAGUGGUCCUCUUUGAUGGCGAUGAAGAUUGAAAAGUCUUUCUAGCAGUCGGUUUCGGGUGAUGGAAAUGGAGUUGAGGCAGUGGCUGGAAAGGCAGUAUAGCUUGAGUGGAAGGGGCAUCGAUGGUACAGCCAGAGAGAAACAAAGACAGUCUGACAAAACAGGCCCUGAGCUCUUUGUCAGUGCACCACACCUGCUUCUCCGACAUUCAGUUACUCCACAGGAGCGGUUCCUCCACAGGUACUGGUCAUCCAUUGUUGAAAAUGUGGCACCCACUUGGGUGAUGCCACGGCUGCUGAAAAACCGUUGAAAAGCCAUCACACAUCGACUGGUUAGGAACAGUCCCUUCUCUGCUAUCCCCGGACACUGCAUGUAGUUGUUGUUGUCAUUCUCAGCAAAUGAAACAAAAAAAGCCAGUGCUGCAUUAUUUAAAUCCAAAUACCCUAGCUAGCUAGCUAUCAAGCCAAACAAAUAGGCUUUUCAUCUCAGUCCUGCAACUCUGUGAUUCAAGACAACCAGAUAUUGAGACAGCCUUCAGUUCCCUCUCAGCCUCUGGCCAACCCUGACAGUGCAGCACAGUAGCC
rnacentral:lncRNA from 1 species